UACUGGGGCAGGGCCACCACAAAAAAAAGGGAAAAUAAACGACGAACAACUAAAAGCUAAAAGGGAAAGUGAAAGAUGACGGGUGAAAUCCGAGUCACAUUCGGUCGGGCUUUCAAAAGAUGGAGAGAAUUAUGAUUCGGGAUUGUGAAUUAUUCAAAAUCGACCCCGAACUGGCCCUCAGGAAUCUCUGGAGAUAGAGCGGGGGAGCCGCUACAUCUGCCAGUUCUCCUACUUCACCAUUACCCGCUCCACGGCCCCAAGACAUCUUUGACGAGCACUUCAUCCAUGAGCUGCGUUUGAAGUGGGUUUUGAUGUCAGCUUCAUCUAUUAUGGAUCAGAUGACAUUUUUCUGAUGGCAGCCCCCAAUACGCCUCUUAAGAGACAGGAAUGGAAAACAGGGACAUGGAAAUAGAUGCCAGUAUGCUAUUUCCUUUCAUUACCCUACUCUUCUCCACUUUUUGCCCCACGAGAAGGUGCUGGAGUCAGACAGGGAACAACAAAAAUUACACAGGACAUAUGGAAUCAGACAGCAAGUCAAAAUAGUUUAUUGUAGAACAGGAUUCAUAGUCGAGGCACUACCUCACAUUUAGUAUAGGCACUGAACUACUGCACUGGAGUCACAGCCACGACUCGGUCUGAAAACAAAAGCCUGCCAGCCACGUUGACGCUGGCUACAGCCACAUGUACAAUAUGUCAUCUUCCUGAUAGGCCGCCUGCCAAAUCAAGACAACACAUCAUUACGUAAAUGCUCUAUUAAGUGAUCUGAUGUGGAUCUAUAUGCACCAAAGCAUGUAAUCUGAAUAAAUUCUGCA